UACGGAGGGUGCAAGCGUUAUCCGGAUUCACUGGGUUUAAAGGGAGCGUAGGCGGGAUGGCAAGUCAGUCGUGAAAUCUCUCGGCUCAACCGAGAAACGUCGGCUGAUACUGCCGUUCUUGAGGGAUGCAGAGGAGACUGGAAUUCCCGGUGUAGCGGUGAAAUGUGUAGAGAUCGGGAGGAACACCGGUGGCGAAGGCGGGUCUCUGGGCAUUUCCUGACGCUGAGGCGCGAAAGCGUGGGGAGCAAACGGG
rnacentral:rRNA from 1 species